ACUCGCAUAGCUUAACCUAAAGCCCAGCACUGAAAAUGCUAAGAUGAGCUUAAACCCUCUGCCAGUA
rnacentral:tRNA from 1 species